CUCGCGCUAAUUACUACCUGCAUAAAUUAAUUCCGUAACAGAAUUACGCGACAUAUUGAUUAGAGAGCGAUGUAGACGAACGUACGAGCCGUCGCACCGCCGUACUUGUAUCUUUGCAAACUCGGACAAUUCCGCGCGCACCGCGAAUCGCUGCGGCGGUACACUGCAGUCAGCGUUAUUAUCGGGAUAAGCUUCGGAGCUCCGGAUGUUUGGAGAAGAGACACCGACUUCGUGUCGCGAGUUUGACGUACGUUGGUAACGGGAUAAUAGAGGGAAAUUUUUCCGAUUAUUUGCACCGAGGUGUAUCGAUUCGCGAAAUGCGAGUGGAAAAUCGUUACCAGGAACUCCGACGGAAUUAAAGUAUAAAAACCAUCGUUGAGGUAUCGAAAACGAAUGAGAUUUUCAUCGAUUUCGGUCGUCGAUCAACCGGGUAGAAAAUUGACGUCGGUCUCUCGGUUCUCGCUGGGAGCCUCCCCUGAGUAUUUAAAAGGUAAAAUUAUAACAUUUAAUUCAUAAGCAGAGAAAAAAAAGGAGAGAGAGAAUCGACGGGGCUAUGGAAUAUGGGGGUACGAGAACGAACGAGGAAAAAGCUGAGAGGUUUUCGCUUCCCUCGAUACGUGCCUUGUCCGACGUUGACGAUUUGGCGUGGCGCCGUUUCGAUUUGUGGCUCGCUAAUUACGGCGGUCGCACGAUUCUCCAUUGACGCCAAUUUCACGACCAGGGGUAAUCGGAUGAAUAAAAAGAACACAACGUUCGCCAUCAUAUAGAAUGCCGCUAGUUUUUCUAGACGAGUUGGAUCACCUGGAGAUUACAGAGCGAAGUUUUCCCGCCACGAAACAGCGCAGAUGUUCGGUAGGGUGCACGCGCCAGAAGCGGCAAGAAGGAAGAAAGAAAGAAAGAAAAGAAGAAAAAGAAUCAGAGCUCGGACGACUUUGGUAGGCCUUUCGUCUUAUGCGAGAAGAAUUCUUACCGGGCUAUGACCUUUUACCUUUUGUAUGUACUACACUCGGGCGCACGUGUCUAACUGAGAUCGGGAUAUAGUCCUGCCAUUCAUUUGCCCUACAAUACCGAGGAUAAUCUUUGGGAAAAUAUGGUGGACGAGGAAAGAGAAAAAAGCGAAUCUGUGGCCCAGAACGUUCGAAAAUAGGUUACCAUUUCUGUAUUCUUACGAAUGAAAACUCACUUGAAAAAC